AAAGGGAAAGUUUCAAGAUCAUGGAAAGAAAGAUAAGUCAAAAGGUGGAAUAACUCCCUGCAAGACGUGCGGAAAACUCCAUACGGGAGAGUGUUUGUUGGGCAAGAAAGGAUGUUACAAAUGUGGUAAAGAAGGACAUUCGUCUUACCAAUGUCCAACUAGCCCGAAGACUUGCUUCAAUUGUUUCGAAAAGGGGCAUAUCAAAUCUGAAUGCCCAAAACUUCAACAAGAGUCCAGAAAAGAAGAUAAGAAGCAAGAAGGUUCGAGGGCAAAAGGGAGAAUGUUCCAAAUUACAUCUGAAGAGGCCAAGUCUCACCCGAAUGUGAUUUCAGGCGUGAAGGAAGAAAGUUCGAAUUCUAAGAAAGCGGAAGGAUCCCAAGACCGAGGUAUGUUCCGUUGCAUACGAAAGUUUACUUUUAAUUGUUAA
rnacentral:lncRNA from 1 species